AAAAGAAACAGAGAGGGGGAGAGAGUAUUCAUGCUAAAUGGUGAAACUGGAAAUGAAAGACGGAUUGAAAAUGCCCGUUUCCAUCUGCGUCUGGACUGGAGACGUGCACAGGGAAAAGAGAAGGAGAUGCCCAUGCAAAGGGCCUGGCUGACCCCACUGCACAGAAAUACUGCUCUGCUCUUGUUGUCAGAUUGUGGAAAAGCUACUUUCAAGUCAAGAAAGACAUCUCGGGCAAAUCCCAGCAUGCAUCUGGCCAGACAGUUAGCUAUCGAGGAGUGCACCCCAGCCUUGGGGGAGAGGACAAUCAGCUCUCGUGCUACAAGACCAAGUGCUCGUAAGGUCAAGAGCCAGGAGAAAACGUUCCACAGCGGGGAGCUGGAUUGCGCGAGCAUCACCUCCUUGCCCCCUGGAUUAGCAGAGGUCAGUCAGUGGCACUGAGGAAGAGCCCGGCCUGAAGACCAGGCGUGCAGACUGGAUCAGCAUGAGCUCAGGUCUGAGGAAGGGGGGCUGGAAAAGGCUGAACGCGUUCCCUCCCAGGACUCGGGAAUUGCGGAACUCUCUGCACCAGGGAGCAUAUGCGCUUACACACGGCAGCUUGACAAUCUCAGGGCGAUGAUUUAUACGUCUUAAGUGUAUUACUAGCCUGUCGAAAUUUGUCACUUUAGAGUUUUAAUUAAAACUGUUAAUCACAGAUUCCUGUUUGUUC
rnacentral:lncRNA from 1 species